CUGUGACCAGCCGCCACAGAAAUAAAGUAUCAUUUAGUUAGUGAACAUUUUGGGGAGUGUAGGGGGAACCUCCCCCCAAAUUGAAACACAGGAGUUAGCAUCACGAGAGGCGGAAGAACUGAAAAUGGAGAUGCAGGAACUGAGCAGGACUUACAAAUAAGUAAAGUAUUCAGGGCAAAUGGAAAGCUAAGACAGUUCAGGGCGUUUGCACAUAUUCUUGCAACAAUACUGUAGUGUUGGUAAUGAAGCGCGAGGUGUUAUCCCCACUCUGAAUUGGAGGAAACCGAAGCUUUGGUUAAACGGUCUCCUCUCCCACUCAACAACCAACAGCCAUGUGUUCAGACUUAGAACCAUCCUCUUCCAAAUGGAUGAUGACACUACUAGGCCAGUCCGUAACCCAAGAAUUCACGGAGUCAGGCUUAUCUGCCACAGCCCUGAAAGAAACUGCUAGCAAACACAACUGAGUCACUUGAGGAAAGCCGCACGAGUGUUCCCCUACCGUGAUGCCUCAGAGAGCGGAACUACGUCGCUGGGGUUGGGAGGGUGGGGAGCUAGACUUAGAAAGCAACAUCUCAUGGCUCCUAGUGACCCGCAGGCUUCAAGGCAACAGUACGUGGUCUAACCUGGCCCCUUUUGGAAAGGAGCAAAAUGACGAGAACUGUAAGAGAGAAAAACAAGUAGAAUAUCAAAAUAUGAACAGAUAAAGGCUUAUCUCUGGUAGAGCGUCAGCCAAGGGAUACGCCCAGCCCUUGACCUUAGUCAGUGGCUACUACACACUGAAUGACCAGCGACACCUACCGAUGCUUUCCAUUCUCACUAUGCUGAAUCUCUGCGUGAUAGGGAGCAACUGUAUCAUUAAGGAACAAAUGGACAUUGAACGGAACGCCGGCUACGAAACGAUACUUAAUUAAGAUGAACUGUAGACAUCAGCACCAGCCCCGUUAUCCCCCUGAAACAACGCCCAGGGUUCAGUCUCCGCUGCCUUGAACAAACUGUGCCACCUGCCGAGAGAGCACAGUCCAUUUAGUAAAGACCUGGAGAUGAGCUACACCCAUCACGGUAGCGGAGGGCUUUUCCCCCUCAUUUGUUGGUGGUGGUGAUGGUUAAUGACUGCAUAAAAUCUCAGAGAAAGAUCUGGACUCCACUCCACGGGCUACACUGAUCUGGACACUGCUAGGACAGUCCAUUGCCCUGCUUCUGUUCAGCUGCUUUUAUGGUCCAAACUCCCAAAGUCUUCCUCCAAACAACAAAGAAAUGGCAACUCAAGAUCAAGGCAACUCAUGAAAUAAAGCAUUUACUUGAGAGC